rnacentral:misc_RNA from 1 species
UCUCUCUCUCUCUCUCUAAAAACUCCAAAACCCAACUAGAUCAUUUCAGCUGGGUUUUAAUUCAUCUUCUUCCGGGGUUCUAUUUCUGCAAUGGUUGGUAGAUGUGAGGUAAUCCCAGUGGUGUACUUUGGGUUUUCUGGCUAGCCUCACCAAUAGGAAUGUGACGCGUGGAGUUCUACACCUCGGAUUCGUUUCUCGUUGGUACUUCCUACCUUCUGGAUUUUCGUGGGAAAGCG